GGAGUCUAACAUGUGCGCGAGUCAUUGGGUUUCGAAAACCUAAAGGCGCAAUCAAAGUGAAAGGUGACUCUUUCGCUUACCCGAGGGAGGAUGGGCGCGUCUGUCGUCCGCCGGCGGUGCCCCGCACUCCCGGGGCGUUUCUCACUCAUCGCGAGUCGAGGCGCACCCAGAGCGUACACGUUAGGACCCGAAAGAUGGUGAACUAUGCCCGGCCAGGACGAAGCCAGGGGAAACCCUGGUGGAGGUCCGUAGCGAUUCUGACGUGCAAAUCGAUCGUCGGAGCUGGGUAUAGGGGCGAAAGACUAAUCGAACCAUCUAGUAGCUGGUUCCUUCCGAAGUUUCCCUCAGGAUAGCUGGUGCCCGGGUGAGACGAGUCUCAUCCUGUAAAGCGAAUGAUUAGAGGCAUUGGGGGUCGAAACGACCUCAACCUAUUCUCAAACUUUAAAUAGAUGAGAACUCCGGCUUGCUUGAACGGUGAAGCCGGAGAUUCGGAUCAAGGUGCCCAGUGGGCCAAUUUUG
rnacentral:rRNA from 1 species